rnacentral:rRNA from 1 species
GUAGGUGGCAAGCGUUGUCCGGAAUUAUUGGGCGUAAAGCGCGCGCAGGUGGUUCUUUAAGUCUGAUGUGAAAGCCCCCGGCUCAACCGGGGAGGGUCAUUGGAAACUGGGGAACUUGAGUGCAGGAGAGGAAAGUGGAAUUCCACGUGUAGCGGUGAAAUGCGUAGAUAUGUGGAGGAACACCAGUGGCGAAGGCGACUUUCUGGCCUGUAACUGACACUGAGGCGCGAAAGCGUGGGGAGCAAACAGGGAUUAGAUACCCUGGUAGUCCUCGCCGUAAACGAUGAGUGCUAAGUGUUGGGGGGGUUUCCCGCCCCUCAGUGCUGCAGCUAACGCAUUAAGCACUCCGCCUGGGGAGUACGGUCGCAAGACUG